UACGGAGGAUGCGAGCGUUAUCCGGAUUUACUGGGUGUAAAGGGAGCGUAGACGGUGAUGCAAGUCAGAAGUGAAAGCCCGGGGCUCAACUCCGGGACUGCUUUUGAAACUGUGUGACUGGAGUGCAGGAGAGGUAAGCGGAAUUCCUGGUGUAGCGGUGAAAUGCGUAGAUAUUAGGAGGAACACCAGUGGCGAAGGCGGCUUACUGGACGAUGACUGACGCUGAGGCUCGAAAGCGUGGGGAGCAAACAGG
rnacentral:rRNA from 1 species